UAAAGAAAGUAAGAAAGGGCGUAUGGCGGAUGCCUAGGCUCACGGAGGCGAUGAAGGACGUGAUAAGCUGCGAUAAGCUUCGGGUAGGUGCAAAUAACCCUUGAUCCGGAGAUUUCCGAAUGGGACAACCUAGCCGUCUGAAGGACGGUUACUCAAUCUUCAAGAUUGAGAGCUAACGCAGGGAACUGAAACAUCUUAGUACCUGCAGGAAGAGAAAAUAAAUGAAUGAUUCCCCCAGUAGUGGCGAGCGAACGGGGAACAGCCCAAACCGUUGACGUCGCAAGGCGCCAGCGGGGUUGUAGGACCGCGACAUUGUAUGCAAAUCGUGAACAGAACACUUUGGAAAAUGUGACCAUAGACGGUGAUAGUCCAGUAUGUGAAGCGAAAUGCAGCAUAGCGGUAUCCUGAGUAACGCGGGACACGAGGAAUCCUGCGCGAAUCUGCCGGGACCAUCCGGUAAGGCUAAAUACUCCCGUGAGACCGAUAGCGAACGAGUACUGUGAAGGAAAGGUGAAAAGAACCCCGAGCAGGGGAGUGAAAUAGUUCCUGAAACCAUACGCCUACAAGCGGUCGGAGCAUCGUAAGAUGUGACGGCGUGCCUUUUGCAUAAUGAUCCUACGAGUUACCGUCACUGGCGAGGUUGAGUGUCACGAGACACGUAGCCGCAGUGAAAGCGAGCCUGAACAGGGCGCACAGUCAGUGGGGGUAGACGCGAAACCAAGUGAUCUACACUUGGCCAGGAUGAAGUCCCGGUAACACGGGAUGGAGGUCCGCACCAAUAAGCGUUGAAAAGCUUCUGGAUGAGCCGAGUGUAGGAGUGAAAGGCCAAUCAAACUUGGAGAUAGCUCGUACUCCCCGAAAGGCAUUUAGGUGCCGCGUCGGAUGGUCACCGUGAGAGGUAGAGCGACCGAUAGGACAAGAGGGCUUCACCGCCUAUCGAGUCCUGACGAACUCCGAAUGCUCACGGUCUGCAGUCCGGCAGUAAGGGGGCGGGUGCUAAGGUCCGUCCCCGAGAGGAGAAGAAUCCAGACCGCCGUCUAAGGUCCCGGAGUUCUGCCUGAGUUAGUCUAACGAAGUCUGGUCCCUAUGACAGCUAGGAUGUUGGCUUGGAAGCAGCCAUUCAUUCAAAGAGUGCGUAACAGCUCACUAGUCGAGGGUCCGGGCAUGGAUAAUAAUCGGGUAUAAGGCAGACACCGAAGGCGCGGGAUAGCAUUUAAGAAAGUAUCGGUAGGGGAGCAUACUCACAGCGUCGAAUGGUGUACGUAAGUUAUCCUGGAGCGGUGAGUAAAGCAAAUGUAGGAAUAAGUAACGAUAAGGAGGGUUAGAUUCCCUCCCGCUGUAAGACCAAGGUUUCCCGGGCAAUGCCAAUCAGCCCGGGGUCAGUCGGGUCCUAAGUCUAAGCCGAACGGCGAUGGCGAUGGCAGAGACGGUUAAUAUUCCGUCACUGCCGCAUGGGGCGA
rnacentral:rRNA from 1 species